rnacentral:rRNA from 1 species
AUUUAAUUCAACAUCGAGGUCACAAACUAAUUUUAUUGAUAAGAACUCUUCAAACUAAUAAUGCUGUUAUCCCUAGAGUAACUUAUUUUAUACUUCAUUAUUUUAUUACAAAAAUCUCUCUCUUCAAAAAUUGCCCCAAUAAAAAAAUCAAUUUUUUAGCUUCUAGGGUCUUUUCGUCCUUAAGAUUUAUAAAAGUAUUUUUACUUUUAAUCUAAAUUCAAACUAAUCAACAAAAACAAUCCUUUCAGUUUCCACCAUUCAUUCCAGUCCACAAUUAAAGAA